UGAGGUCACUUGAACUGCUAUAAUAGGUUUUAAGACCCCACAAAGCACACCAUCCUCACAAAAUCCACCCAUUACCACCUUUAUCUCUCCAUUACAACCUUCACCACCAUGAAUCGGCCUCAUACUACCAUGAAUCAACUCCCACUUUGGUGUUCUUGUUCUAUUAUCUUCAAUAAGAGAUGGAAUCAACAACAAAGAUUCCUCAUCAUAUGGAUCUUAUUUGUAGCAAAGUUCAAGCUUUAUCGUCAUCUUCACCGAAUCAUGCGCAUCUAAAUUCUAAAAUAUCCUUGACCCCAUCCCUAGAAUCUGACAAUGUAAACUUCCUUUCAAAAACUUCUUAAACUCUUUCCUACUAACAAAUCCUCCAUACCUUUGUUCGUUAGAACUCAACUUUUUAACAAUAUGACCAAUUACUUCACACCAGCAAGUCAAUUGAAGGUAAGAAGGGUGAACCUAAGUUUCUGCAGUACGACUAGAAAGAGAACAAGAGAGAAGGAGGUGCGAUUUGGGGUGGGUGCCAAGAAUCAAUUAUGAACGAGUCGCAAUGAAAAAGGUACCUAGUCUUGCGAUUUUUCUGUGUGGCUAUCGAACAAAGCGAGGGUGAAGAACAAAAUCACCCUCUUUUCUGCAAUAAAAUUGGAUUUUUAUUAAAUAUAUAAUAAGAUUAUUGAAAAUAUAUAUAUAAAAGAAAAAAAAAUAGACAACUUCUACCGACAAAGAUGACAAAUGACAUGCCACAUCAUCUUGUAACAUGCUAUUCCUUUCUCCCUUACAAAAAUGGUUUCUUUAACAGUUAAAAUGAAAAUUUAGUGAUUUAGAAUGCAUAAAAAAAUUCAAUGGCUAUUUAAAACAAAUGACAAAAGUUGGUUAUGCUAAAAUGGCAUUCACCCUAUUUUUAACGCAUAACAUAUAAGUCCAAAUAUUAUAUUUUUAUGAGCAAAUAUUAUAUUACUUUUAGAUUUUAACGAUACGUGAAAAAUAAAUCAUACAAAAAUAUGCCGACACUCAAUAAUAGUAUACAAUAUGUGUUAGAUGGAGACCCGUUAUAAGUCGUUUUCCAAUGACACUGCCUGAUUGUUCUUACAUGUGAGAUGGGCCAAAAGAACAAACACAAGCUUCUUGACACACGAUUUGUUGUCGUUGCCAAUAUUUGCAAUACAUAUGGAAAUUUGAACCGAAUUAUGCAUGCACUUAAAUUUUAUUUGUUAUAACCAAAUAAAUUAUGGGUUUAAUUCUAUAUUUGGCAUAUUUUAGCAUUACUACGGUUGUUUUAGUUUAUUUUUCAAGUUUUUUUAAUUUAUCCGUUUAUUUUUUAGGCUUAUAAAAAGUUAUUGUGUGGGUUAGUUUAUUAGCUUAAGCUUAUAAGUUUAUUUUAUCUAAAAACUAGUUGUGAGACUCAUGUAUUAUAUGAGUUAAUUUUUUUUGAAAAGUUAAAUAUAAAAGUCAAAAUAUUUCAGAACUUUGAAUUUAUAAGAAAAUAAAAAAAAUAUAUUAAAUUAUUAUAAUAGAAAUGUUUUUUAUCUUUUAAAUUUAAAAAAAAUAAUAAUUUAAAUAAAUAAAAGAAACUAAUAACCUUUAAUUUUAAAAAUUUUGAAAUUAAAAAGUAAGUUCAUCAAUGAAAUUGAUAUCAAUUUAUUAUUACAUUUAUUGCAAGUAUAAUAUUAAAAUGUAAAAUUUAAUAAAAUAUAAAAACUCAUAAAAUGACAAAUGAAAAAAAAAAGUUAAUUCAAAAUAACAAUAAAUUGACAUUUGACAAAUUGAAUGAUAGUGAGAUAAGUGACAAAAAAAAAAACUUUCAUUUAUCAUAAAAGAUAAACCAAUUGUUAUAAGUCAAGUAAAAACAACUUUUUUUUCAAAGGAUUAGUUUAUUUGUCUAUAUUUACCUAUUUACCCUCAAUCCUAAAUAAAUUUUUUUUGCAGCACUACAUUAUUCUCUUUUUAGUCACUUUAUAACCAAACACUAUUUAAAAAAAUAUAUUAGCUAAUAAGUAAUAAGCUAAUUCAAAUAUUUUUUUUUAUCUUAAAAGCUCAUAAGUUCUUAAGUUCUUAAGCUCAUAAGCUUAAGCCCAAAAAAAUAAGCUUACACAAACACCUCCUAUAUAUGCAUUAGUGGACAAAUUAUAUUACCACCAUAAAGUUGUAUUUCGAAAGCACUAGUGAUUACUGAUUAGUGUCAAUCGUGAACUUAUUACAGCUAAAAUGAUUUCAAAACAAAUUACAAAUUCCUUUCAACAAUGGAAGUGAUAUGAACACAAUAGUUUUUCUUCAUACAUAAUAAUUUAUGACUUAUAGAGUUGUACAAUGCAACAUUUUAAUACACAUAUUAUUGUAUAUCGAGAAAAUUUAUUAUGUAUAUAUCAACUCUCUUUCAACAAUCAAUAGAGUAAGGAGCUCAAUGAAAAAAUGAUACAAAGUAUUAAAAAAUCCAAAUUUUCAAAUUGUCAUAGCAAAUCAUAGCACUUGAUUUCAACCAAUUAAUAGAUUCUAUAUCCUACAAAUGAAUACUACGUACCACAUCUUGUUCUUGGAAAGAAAAAAAAAAGAUCACCACAAAAGUAUGAGUAAACGACCAUUUGCUUAUCUAGCAAAGUUGAGUAUUGUCAAGGAGGAACGUAAAGAAAUAAUGAUGGAUCACCUUUCGUUUAAUAUGAAGCUAAGACAUGCUUUCAUGCCACUGCUAACAAAAUAUCAUCACACUGACUUUGUGUGUGUGUGUGUGUAUAUAUAUAUAUAUAUAUANAUAUAUAUACUUAGAAAUUAAAUUAAAAUCUAACCGACUCGCAUAAAAAUCUGGAUUAUAAUUUACAAAUCAGCUUACCACAUUAUCCGGCGCAACCAUUCCUAUUUUUGCUUGGAGUUGUAACUAGAUCAUCCUUAUAGAGGGUAUCUUCAUUAAAAGUGACUCUUUACUCCUAAUCACUUUCAUGUUUUGAUUAUCCCAACAUCUAUAGCCCAUAUCAUCUAGACCAUAACCAAUAAAGAUACACUUCUUAGCUUUGGCUUCAAGUUUGUAUUGGUCUCAUCUUUAGACUUGACAUAAGCAUUACAACCAAAUAAUUUAAGGUGAGAGAGGGACAUUUCCCUUUUCUGCCAUUUCUCUUCUGGAAUUCUAAAACCAAUGGGGACUAAGGAUCCGCGAUUUAUAAGGUAAGCAAUUGUGCUCACUAUGUCUCCCCCAAAACAUUUUUGGCAUCCCUGCAUGUAACCUCAUGCUUUUAGGUAUCUUAUUUAACGUUUUGUUUAUCCUCUUUACAAUACCUUUUUGCUGAGGUGUUUCUAGCGCAGUCUUAAACAUUCUGAUUUUGUAUUCUACCCAGUAAUUAGUAAACUCCUUGCUUCUGUAGUCAACCGCACUAUCUGAAUUCAGACAUUUUAUCUUCAGAUUUGUCUCAUUUUCCACAGCAGCUUUGAACGUUUUAAAAGUAGAGAAAAACGUCGAAUUUAUUUUUUAGAAAGUAAACCAAUAACUUUCUUAUAGCAUCAUCUAUAAAGGUAAUGUAAUACCGGGAACCUCCUAUUGACGAAACUGAUGUCGGACCAAAGACAUCAGAAUGUGUCAGCUCAAGCUUCUUUGAUUUUGGUGGAUGACCCCUCUUCACAUAAGUAACUCUUUUUGGUUUACCGAAUAUGCAUGGUUCACAGAAGUCAACUAUCACAUUCUUCAGCUAUGGGAUCCUGCCUUUUGAAGCAAGCAUCUCCAUUCCCUUCUCACUCAUAUGGUCAAGCCUUCAGUGCCAUAAAUUAGAGGGCUCUCCAUCUCUAAUAGUUUCAUUUACUUCUUCUGAUGCCAACCUACCAUAUAUAGAGUUUCACUCUUCUUUCCUUGAGCAAUGAACAAGUUCCAUUUAAUAACCUGCCAUUUACCUUUUCCAAACUUUACAUCAUGUCCAACUGCAUCCAGUUCUGCCACCGAGAUCAACAUAUUCUUCAGAUUAGGAAUGUAUUUCACAUCCUUCAAAAUCUAGGUAGUACACAUUGAAAUUUUUAAAGCUACAUAUCCAAUACCAGUGAUCUUCAUAAUUUUACCAUCUACUAGACGAACAAUACUGCUAUAAGGUUUGAAAUUUCUCAUGAUUUCUUUGUUGCGGAAAGCAUGAAACAAUGCUCUUGAAUCUAUUACCCAGGACUCGACUAAAUUUUCUACAAAACAAAUCAGUACAUCAUUGUAGUCUUCAGCCAUAUUCAUAUCCUUCUUGUCAUUAUCUACAGGAGAUUUAGGACAUUUAUUUCUGAAAUGUCCUAUUUCGUUACAACUCCAGCAGCCGAUUUCUUUGCUGCUUCUUGAUUGUCCUCUUUUCCUUGAUUUUGAUCUUUUUCUUCCAUAUCCACCUUUGUUUUGUUUUCUGCCCCCCUCUUCUUGUGACGACCGUCAAUUUUGGUCAAAAAAAGUCAACAAAAUUCAACUAGGUCACUCAACUUGUAUUAGAAUUCUAGGAAUAAUGUGAUAUUCCCUAAUGUUGCUAAUGUACUAUUGACAACUUAUAAUACAAAGUACCUCUCUUAUCGCCAAUUAUUGAGCCUAAACCCUAAUUGGGGUUAGUAACGUAAAGAUUCUAUAAUUCAAUUAUAUAUUAUUUAGGUAUAUCUAAUAUCCGUAACAAGGGUUCGUAAACUUAUGCUACAUGGCAAAUUCAUAACAAAUGUUACAUAUACAGAUUUUUGGUGAAUCCGUUACCAAAUGCGACAUAUUCUAUACCCAACUUAAACACUCAAAAGUUAACGAAAAGAAUUAUGAAUCAUCCUAACUUUCGUGAAAGGUGCUAUUAUUUUUUUAUAAUAAUGAUUUCUACAAUAAUUUGAAUUUAUAUGGUUCAAAUUAAAUAAAUAUACAUCCUUUUACCACACUUUUUAUAAAGAUCACUAAUUUUAGAAAAAAUUCCUAUCCUUUUAUAAAUAAAUAAAUAAAGACACAUUUUGUUUUAUAUGAUGAUUAUAUCUUUUAAAAAAUAUUAUUAUUUAAUUACAAUGACCAUUCUUGAAUAUUUAAUUCAUAAAGUCUCAACCUACUACCUUACCCCAUACCCUACCCCCUACACCCCUCCCUUCUUAUUCUCGGCCAAAGCCCCCUCCCCCCCCCUCACUCCAUUUUCUUCAUGUCUCUAACUUCUUCACUUUCUUCAUCUUUUUCUUUAAGAACAACUCAAAUUCUCUCAAGGUUAAUUCGCCGUAAGUUGGUUCUUCAUCUUUUGGUAAGCUUUUCCUUACUUAUCUAGUGAUUCUACACAUAAAUAUACUAGUUUUGUUACAAUUACACACAUUAAUAUGUGUUAAUAUCCAUAGGAUAACUCCAUCUUCAAGUGUCUUCAAGUGUUCUUGGCCUGAAAUCAUUCAUCUUCGCCACUUUAUCCACCAAAAACACACUCAAUGUGAGUUCAUACCCCUCAUUUUCAUUUUUAUCCAAGUUUUUAGGGGGGGGGGGAUACAAGUAAACUUGUAUAAUAACACAAGUUGUUAUGCAUGCUUCUUCUUUAUGUUGUGUAAAAGUAUUAUUUGCAUGAAAUAAUGUUUUUACCUAGUAUUAUGAAAAGUUUUGUGUGGUAAGUUUUUUUUUAAAUGCAAAACUAUGACAAAUGAGUAUAAACAUGCUUUAUGUUCUUUAGAAGAUGUCAUAAAAACAAAAAUAUAAAAACUAUGGUUUUUAUGAACACAUAUGGGUUUUCUAGCAAAAAUGGUCAUGAAUAAGUUGUGUCACAAUUUUUGUGAAAUUUGACUUAAAUUUUGUUGUUUUAAACAUAAAAGGAUAGAUUGACUUAAUCUCUACAAAAAGGUAAAAUGAACUUUACAAAGUUUAUAACUCAAUAUUUACCGUUUGGUGACGUAAAAAGGCCAAAAACCAGAAAACUAAUUUUAUCAAACAAAUAGUUCAUAUACUUGUGUUAGAUGUAUAAUAUAUGGUCUUAUGAACAUCUAAACAUGUUAUCUUAUAUAUAUAUAUAUAUAUAUAUAUAUAUGUGUGUGUGUGUGUGUGUGUAUAGGUACAACAAAACAUUUAAGAUAAACUAUAAUAUGUAUAGUUUAUGGGUCAUUAGCACUAUUUUAACGUUUUGUGACAAAGCAAAUAAUUAUAUAAAGGUAUAAUUAUUUUACACUAUGUAAGUAAUAUGGAGAGGUGAUAUUUUCACUAACAAAUGGUUUUCAUUACACUAUAUGUAAACUUGUUGAUAUAAUUUUGUGAGACAUAGUCUUCACCGUACCUACCAGAGUACACACUAAAGUCCUGAAUUAUAACUAGAAUCUCAGCAAGAGAGCGUGACAUUUGUGUAUAGAUCUAUACGGGACUGACAAUCCCGCACCUAAGCUGCUAGCAAAGGCUAGACUAGCAGGUAUGGGGUGACAAUUGUCUAACAUUCUGACGCCUAAAGAACGUCGUAGCCGGCCACUAUGGUUUUAGCAUGGUUGUAAUAACUCACAUGGGGAAUCAGCAAAUACAUUUAGUUUACAGGGUAACACGCAUUCAAAUGUUUUAUAUAAGAACAAAACUAUGUAAUACUAUUUUAAGUAUGAAAAUACUUAUACAUUUUUGGUCUUAAGGUUUUUAAGACUACAACUCAUUUUUAAGAAAAUAUUGGAUUUUCUGGGAACGAAUACUGUCAUUUUAUAAGGAAAAAGUUACAGAUUUUCACAUACAAAACUCUUAUGAACUCACUGAUAGUUUUGUUUUUAUUACUUCUUUUCAUAGUUUAUUUUUAGUUAAAACCAUAUCAUUUUAGUUAAUCUUCAUGCAUAUUUUCUCUUUUUGUUAUUUUUCUACUUUACCGGGUGCUUUCCAGUCUUUUGAGCUUAUUUGCAGGAUUUAUCGAAAACUAUUUGUUAUUGGAGGUGUGGAAGGAGUGCGGGACUGCUGGAGGCUUGCAAUUUGUUCAUGGACUUGAAGUGGUGUAAUUGGGCUUGGUAUCAAUAUAAGCAAGAAGCGCGUCCGACUUAAAUUUCGGGCGGGACGACGAGAAUUCGAGCUACAGAAGAUUAAAGAAGCAUUGGAGCAUCUUGGAAGAGUUUGGAAGGAAUAAUUGGGCUAUCAAGACCUUGCACAAAUGGGAUGGACCAUGGAUGAGAAGAGCAAUCUAGAAGGCCAAUCAAAUGGGCCAAAUGGCCUAGAAUCCACGCGGUCCGCGUGGAUUUACAAAUGGUCCGCGUGGAUCGCACUGUGAAGAAUCCAAAUUUUUGACUUUUUGACUCUAUUUUGGGAAGGUUGGUGGAAUACUUUUGGGGGACUUUUACAUCUAAAUUUUUACACCUAUUUAUUGGCUUUUUUGAGGAAGAAAAUGGGGGGAAGACUUUGAAGAACAACACUUUUGCUCUCUAGAAUAUUGGAAGAUUUAGAAGCUUGGAGCAAUUUUUCUUCCAACUUGCAUCUUGAACAAUGUUUGGUAUCACUAAUCUACUUUGCAUUUCUUUCAUUUUGGCCAUGCUUGGCUGGACUCAUAUUGGGUUGACUUGGAUGUAAUUGCUUGAAUGUUUUGGUUAUUUUGAAUAACUCCAUGAACUUGUUUUGAAUAUCUAUGAUUAUAUUUUCUAUAAAAACUUCCUUCAUGUUUAUAUAUAUCUAGUCAUGAAUAUUGAUAUGCG
rnacentral:lncRNA from 1 species